AAUCAACGCUGGCGGCGUGCCUCAGACAUGCAAGUCGAACGAUUAAGACUCCCUUCGGGGAGUGCAUAAAGUGGCGCACGGGUGAGUAACACGUAAGUAAUCUACCCUCGGGUGGGGAAUAACGUCCGGAAACGGACGCUAAUACCGCAUAAUGCAGCGGCACCGCAAGGUGACAGUUGUUAAAGAUUUAUUGCCUGGGGAGGAGCUUGCGGCAGAUUAGCUUGUUGGUAAGGAACGGCUUACCAAGGCUACGAUCUGUAUCCGGUCUAAGAGGACGGUCGGACACACUGACACUGAAUAACGGGUCAGACUCCUACGGGAGGCAGCAGUCGGGAAUUUUGGGGCAAGUGGGGGAAACCCUGACCCAGCAACGCCGCGUGAAGGAUGAAGUAUUUCGGUAUGUAAACUUCGAAAGAAUAGGAANAAUUAAUGACGGUACUAUUUAUAAGGUCCGGCUAAC
rnacentral:rRNA from 1 species